CUCCUGGGCUCAAGUGAUCUGUCCACCUUGGCCUCCAAAGUGCUGGGAUUAUAGGCAUGAGCUACCGUUCCUGGUAAUAGUGUACAUAUUAAUAUCUCUUGAAUUUCCUGGAGCUUUUCAUAUAUGAAAAAUUAUCUCUCUCUCUUCUGACCCUCUCUCACAUACUUUUCUCCCUCUCUCUUUUGUAUUCAUGUUUUAUCUCCUUGUCUCUAAUUCAGUUACACUCAGUGUUUGGCUCUUUGAGGAAGCCUACCAGAAAUACCAACUCCAUUUCCGGAGUGCAUGCAGUAUGCCAGGUGUGUGGCCAGGUAUCUUCGCAACAUCUCUCCUGCCCACCCCAGCUCUGCCACUCAGGUGUUCUUCAGAGGUAUCCUGUAGGGUCAAUGGAGGAUUAGAGACACUAGGUGGGUCCAUAUCAAUAGGCUCCCAAAUCUGUGUUCUUCCUACACCAUGUCACCCGCUGUGCCUAUUAAAUGAUGCACUUGGGGACAGAUAAUGGCUUCCAGUAAGUGUUCAGUUCACAAUUACCACCAGAGCCUUUAAGAGUUCCGUCUACUUUUAAUAAAUACUUCUAAUAAAUCAUGACCAAAAGAAGCUAAGUAAAUGUAAAUUGAAGCCAGAAACAAAUAAGAGGAAGUCUAUUUCAUUUUAGUAGCAUUUUUUAGAGGUCAGAAGCAAAGCUUUCUAAAUAUCUGUUCAGGGUCUAAUAUUAUAUUGUAUGUGUGUCCCAAAUUAAUUCAGUCUAUAAAGGUCAAUAAUGUAAAAUGUAUUCAUGUGUUCAGGUAAAAAUUUAUGUUGUGCUAUAAUGUGAUGGUGUUUGACUAGUUUACAGCCCUGGUGAUACACCUUUGGAAGACAUUUGGAAGUGAUAAAACAAGGGCAGAUUUUUUUCAUUUUCUUAUAGAAACAGUAACCUGAAAGUCAUACUAAGUUUUAUUGAGAUUCAAUCCCUAGGUAACAUUAAAGUAAGUGUUUAUCUCUCUAAUUCUGUCAUUUUAGGGAGAAAAUCUAGAAAAUAUGCCAAUUAAUCAUGUAGUUAGAUAAUUCAUUAUCUUCAUCUGUGUAGAAAACACUAGAGUGUGAAAUGUAACCUGCACGUUUUAUUUGUUACUUUUUCCUAGAUUGUCCUCUAAACUGGACCUUAAGCACAGUUAUAUUUCACAUUUUUGGUUAAAUUUCUCCUCUGGUUUAAUUUUCCUUUAAUUUGUUUUGGUACCUGAUGUAUCAAAAUUUUACUUAUACUGUAACAUUGCCAAUUAGCUAGGUAUUAUAGAAAGCAGGAAAAUUAAAUAAGGUGUUAAUAGAUUAAACACACAUGCAUAUGAUAAUUUGAUGUCAUUUAAUUUGUAUAUCUGGGAACAAACUUGGAAUGAAAAAUAUAUAUUCGUAAUCAUUAUUAUUACUACCACCUUCGUUCUUCUAAAGGCUAUAAUAAAAUCAAGACGUUUUCAAUCUGGAUUCCAGCUUUGUCACUUACUACAGUUCAAAAUUACCAUCUUCUCAAAUCCUCAGUUUCGUCACAUAUAAAAUGUGAGAAUUGUUUAUUCAUUUGUUAUAGUGAUGAGUGAAUGACAGAAAAUACAUGAAGCACUUACUGGGUUGGCUCAUGCUCCCUCAUGUCACUGAAGUUCUCUAUCUCAGAGAUGUUAAAAUGUUCUUCUCCAAUGUCCCUGCAGCCAGACCUUUGCAAACUCAGUUUUUUAGUUUUAGACUCUUAUGUUAAUUUUAUUGCUCUUGCCCAUGUUGAUUAUCAUUUUCAUUCCAGAUAUUUAUCACAGCUUACGUGGACUAUAGUCACUGCAUCUUGGUGAGCCACUCUGUCUCCUCACUUCAUCAUCCCAGAGGGUUAAAUACAGUAACAUCUUACCUAGUUCAUAUUCUUUCUUAUACCCCUUUUGCUGAUUGAGCUCAACUGUAGCGUCUUAGCAUCCAUGGCCAACUACAGUAUUGCCUCCCAAUUCAUUCCCUACUGUGAUCUAAUAAAUGAAACUUCUUUUUAUUCCUAUGUACUUUUUUUAUGCCUUACUUUGGCUCAUACUGUUCUUUCUGCCCAUAAUAUCCAUUGUUACUCUCCAUUUCUCAUAACCUAUCUCCAUGUCAGUGCCCACAAACGCACACAGUAUUGUUUUCCACUGGACUCUCAGAGCCUUUGACUUCCCUUCCCUUACGGUAUAUAUCUUAUCUUUUUCUAGGUUUAUGGCUGUCAGUCAUGUAUCUGUCAUUUUCCUUCUACUGUAUGGUAAAGUCAAUGUUGGGUAAAAAUUUAGUCUUAUUUACCACUGAGUCCCUGGGAGCAACUAGUACAGUAUACAUAGCAGGUAGCCAGUGAAUAAUUGUUUUAUUGAAUAGCUGCAGCUCAAAGAGCUUCUUUUUCCUGUAAUUGUGUGUAAAGAUGAUGAUAUUCAGAGCAUAAGCUUUAAAAAUGGCUGUGCUCUAUUGUCAACUGCCCUCUGGAGGAAGCAUCAGAGUCACAGAUAAGGUCAGACAGAACUCUGUGGAGGCAGAGGGGGAAACAGUUAUGUUGAAAGAGCUUUUAGGAUAGAAGUAGAUAUUAAAAUUAAAUGGUAUGGAUUUUGGUUUUCCGACUGGAUUAUAAUAGUUUGGUCAAUGUAGAGUCUGUCAGAAAUGAUCCAUGUUUGUUCUAAUUAGGCUUAUAGAUGACUGUAACACUUAAUAACUUAGUUUGAACUUCAGUUUUACUUACCUAUACCCAUUACUCUUCAUUGUUACUUCCAAAUGAAGUUUUAUUUUUUGCCACCUUAUCUUUUAUAGACAAUAUAAACUUUUCUUUUGUGCCAGCAAAUUGCAUAAUUAACAUGUAGAGGGCUGGUAUAGUCUUCUGAGCUUUUCUUGGCGUUUCCAUCGGAUAAUUACUUAAGUUGUGAUCAGAUUAUUUCACUUUUGAGAAAACCGUUUGUGGCUAUAAUGGUAACCAGCAUGAAAGGUGAUUACUGUGCAGGCCUCUCUGCCUGUGGGCACCACUGGGAUUAGAGUUGGUACAGGUUGGUAUCCUCCAUACCUAAAUUUCCUCCUGGGCUUACAACACCAGCACCUAGGCCCAUAUGCUGCUCUUAGGAUAACAGUUCAGUGUGCUGAGGCUAAAAAUUCUUUUCUCAUCUUGUAAAUUGGGUCUCCUCUUCCUCUCCUGUCCACCUUGACCCUUUCCAUCUUAGUGAGGCUAGUUUACCAAAGCCCAUUUUUUUUUUUCUGCCACAACAAUAAAUCUGGCCAUAUGGCUGCCAUGGAAGUUAUACUUAAUGAAGAAAAAAAAAAGAGUUCAGAUUUAACAUUUUGUACACAUCCGUCGUUCUUUCAGCUAUAAAGAUCAAAAUAAUCAAAGAAAAUGAAAAUCUUUUAAAGACAGAUAUUACUACUUCCUCUAGGCUCAGGUUUUGUUUUCUUUUUGUUGAUUGCCUGCUUGUUUUGUUUUCCUUUAUUUCCUGUUGGUAGAGCAUGAGAAAGGUAUAAAAGAAUAUUUUGGGAUCUGCCAGCUAGUGUCUCCCAGAUUUCUAUAGCCUGUUUUAAAUACUAUGAGAAGUAGUUAGACUGAAAUUGGUUCUGGUGUUGUGAACUUAUAUUGUAAAUAAAUAGGCAGGGCGACGUGGAUAUCUUGCAAAGUAAAAUUCAGUGAUCUUGACUCCUCUGAUUUAAUAUCAAAUAAAUCAUCUUUUCAUCUUUGGACUGUAAAUGUAAGAUUUAUUCAUGGAGUAGCUAUUUAUUGACUUUCUUCCUCCUACCAAGUACUGUUGUAUGAGCCGAAGAUACAGAAGUGAACAAAACUGAGUCCCUAUUCUUAUGAAGCUAACAUUCUUGUGUAGCACACAGACCAUAAACAAAUUAUAACAUGGCAAGAGGAUAGUCAGAGAUGUGGUGGUAGGAAGGUACAUUUUCAUUUAGGAAAGUAUUUCUGAUAAGGUGACAUGUGAGCAAAUUCUGAAUUAAGUGAGCGAGGGAACCAUGUAGAUGCCUGGAGGGAACAUUUUGGGCAGAGGGAACAGUAAAUGUGAAGUCCUGAGGUAGAAGUAAGCUUGGAUAAUGUAAAUUUUUAAAAUGUAAUAAGAAUCAAAAUUCAAUAAAUUGAGUGUAAUCACUAUUCCAGUGUUUUAUAUUUGCCUCUAAAACUAAAACGUGUGCUAAUUGAAUCUCAGUUAACCUCCUAGAAAUUAAUUGGUUAUUUAGAACAAUUAGCAAAAACAUUAUAUCAACCUUUAAUCAUUAAAAUUUUACACAGAAAUAUCCUGGUUAAUUAUCUGUGCUUUGGUUGAGGCUUUAUUGCAUUUUUAUAGUCAUCUGUGCUCCAAGAAUGCUUUCACAUUUUUCUCUAUUUCUUUUAAUUAAGCUAAAACACCUGUCCUUAGAAAAGGCGAUUCUUUUAGUCUAGGACCCUUUUAGUAAAAAGAGAAAAAGUAUUUUUUAGAAUCUCUUAAAAUUGUCAAUAGGUCUAACACAGCUUCUUUCAAUGAGAGCAAUACAUGGCUACUGACAAAUUAAUAUAUAAAAUGCCCAUUGUAUCAUUGAUGAAACCAGUCUCUUGGAAAUUUUGGUAAUUUUAUCCUGGUGCUUGAAUAUUUUUCAAGACAUAAAUAUUAUUAAUAGAUUUCAGAAAAUUGUUCAAUAUUAAUAAAAAGCUGUAUCUGAUACCAUAUCGAUGUAAGGUAUCUUUAUUUUUAAUUCAUUCUAGAGAAGUCUUGAUGUAAAGACAACUCUAAAAUGUCAUUUAUUCCAGUAAGCAGUAUUUUUACAUUCUUUAAUAUAUGGAAAUCUUUAUCUCAUUUUCAAUUUUUUAAUAAUCCUUUAAUUUUUAUGAUUGAUUUAAAAAGAGAAAGGUCAUUAUAUUUCACUUAUUUUUGCUGUAUGUUUUAUUCUAUCUGUAAAAUAAAAUAUUUCCAAAUAUGAACUUUAAUGCAAUUAUUUCACAGCCUGCUUUAAAAAAUAGCAAAAUCAAUAUUCUUGGAAAUAAACUUCAGAAUUCCAGAUGGUUUAAUAUGUGCUAGUUAAGUAACCCCUCAGGGAUCACAUGGUUCCAUGAGUCUGUGUCAAGCCAUUGCCAUUACGCCAACAUCAAUGGUGGUUGGAACAAUCAAAGAGAAGAAUGGCUUUGUUGAAUAUUGUGAAAACCAAAAAUGCAUGAAUAAUUUGUUGUGAGGGAAAAAUAUUUAAAGUGUGCAGAUAAUUAUUUAAACAAUUAAUAGAAGGCAAGAUUUUCAAUGGUACAAUGUAACAAAAUGUGUUUUCUUUUAUGUUUUCAGACAAUCUAUGAUCUUUUUGUGAAAUGACAGAAAACGAGUCACUUCCAAGGGUACCCAUGAUAUAUACCCAUGAAUGAUAUAGUAGGUAGUUUUGGAGUCUAUCUCCCUAGUGUAAACCAUAAUACAAUUUAUUACUUAAGUAAAGCUGACUUUUCCCCAUGGCAGAAGCAGCCAGAGACCUUCCUUCUGAUCUUGGCUAUUAUCUGUCAGUUCCCAAGCAAAGCCCGGGAGAUGUUUCAGUAUUCUCUCUAACCAUCCAUAUCUAAUCAGGUACUAAGUUUUCUUGACUUUACCUCCUGAAUAUCUCUUGACAUUAGCUAUCUCUCAUAUGUUAUCUCCACUGGUGCCCUUAGUCAUAUCUACUCUCUAUUAGAAUAGUAUAAUUUCUGUAACAUAUGUAACACCUUGUUUUAAAAAUUUGUCAGUGGCUAUUUAUGCAUUAAGAACAAGUACAUGUUGCUCAGCAGACUAUUAUAUUAUUUCUGGCUAUGUUUAUAUUCUUUUGUCACUCUACUUUCAUUAGCCUUAAGAAAGUCUGGUAUAUUAGUUGAUUUAUUAAGAGUAAAAGUUAUGAAAUCAGAUUACUUGAACUCAAGUCUAAAUUCUGUGUGAAUUGCACAGUUAUAUAGUCCUCCUAAGCCUUUGUUUCUUAAUAAAAAAUAUCAUAAGAAUAAAAGUAUUUAAUUCACAAUAUUGUUGUAUUAAAUGAAUGCUUAUUAGUAUGCUUGGCACAUACAUAGGUACUCAAAAAUGUUGGCUGUUGCUAAUUAUGUAUGGUUUUCAUGCUGUUUUAUACUAUUUCAAAAUGUAUGCCUUAGCAUAAACCAUAUCCCCCAUGCAAGAAUGUACUUUCACACCUUUGUUUCAUCAUUUAAGAUGUACCUCAAACAUUUCCUCUUCUCUAAACCUUUUUCAAAGCACACCUCAUCCCAGCUCCUUCCCGUUGACUCAGAUUGCUAUUGAAAUGAGAGCUUUUGUGGUGUUUGAGCAUUUCAGUCUCCUCCAUGAGGCUCUAAGUUCUUUGGAGGCAUAGCUGUGUCACAUGCAUGUCUAACCUGUCACCAUUGCUCAGGUGAGGCUAAGACUGAGACUAAGUAGAUUCUCAAUAAGGAUUUGAAGAUAAAAUGACGGACCAAAUAAAUUAAUGAAAGGCUGGGACAUAUGUAUGCACAAAUUAAGUUUCACAGGACCAUUUUUCCAUACUUUUUUGCCAUAGGAAGAGUUUUUGUACUUACUAAUUGAUUUUUAAAAAUUUUAAAACUGUUUAUGGUAUUUUUCUGAAUGCAGAAAUUGACAGUUAAUCCAUUCUUCCUAUCAAUAAGAUACAGUCCCCAGUUGAGUUUCUUAGUAAUACAUGAAUAGAGAGCGUGCUAAUAAUAUCACUGGUUUAGUAUAAAUAUAUAAGUAGUAUGGUUUAGAAAUUAAUCAAAUUUCAAAAUUAUUCACAAAUCUCUGCCUUUACUUUGUAUUACCUGAAUAUAGGCAAAGAGAAAAAAGUUGAUUACAAACUAAAUUGUUCCAUUAGCCUUCUCAUUUAACAUUUUACACAUUUUAUAUAGAAAUAAUUACACUACCAUGUAACCCACUAUACCUUGUACUGUGACCGACUAUACCUUGUACUGAGAACUCUGCAUAAUAUUAGAAAACAUUAAAUUGAUAUUAUAAUUAUAGAAAUCAUCUGGUCAGUUCUUGUUUAUAUUUUAGAGAUAGUGAAUACUUUUUUAAAACGAAAGAAAGGAUAAGCAGAAAGAAGAUAAGAAGAAAAGAAAGAAAAUGACCUUCAUACUAAAGAAGUAUGUAUAUUUAUCAGGAAGAAUUUUCUUGUCCAAAUUUAAAGUCUGUGAUUGAUUGGUCAUCUUUAAAUCCUAAAAUGUCCAAAGAACUAGAAGAUCCUGAAUAGUUAUUUGGUUCUAAAUAUAAAGCACUUUGAAGAUAAAUUGAGAAAGACAUAGGCUUUUAACAAAAGGGAAAAGAAACACUUGGGAAAAUGAAAUUUGCUUUCAGUGGCUUUAUUUGUCAUCAAACUGAGUUACUCCAUAAAAUAGGCCCACACUUAUUCUUUCCUAGAUGUAACUGACCUCUUAUCAGAAAGUGUGCAGUAUGUUUGAGAUGAAAAAGUAAUCUCUAAGCUAUUGCAUUGGUCAUUAGCCCUUUUACAGCUAUAAAAUUGGAAGAGAUUACAGAUUUUCAUCUUUUAGAUCAACCAUCAACAGAAUGAGUGGGUUUCCAUCUGCAGCUCUCAUACUCCCUUCUAGACCUCUAAGCCCACACAAUUGUGAAUUGAUUUGAAAGCUAAAUUAUUAACUCAUUAUACUAGCAUCCAUCCUAAGUUGGAGUUUGCUCACAGAAAAA